rnacentral:rRNA from 1 species
CUUCGGCCCGAGUUGUAAUUUGCAGAGGAUGUUUAUGGUGCGGUACCUUCCGAGUUCCCUGGAACGGGACGCCACAGAGGGUGAGAGCCCCGUCUGGUUGGAUACUAAACCUGUGUUAAACUCCUUCAACGAGUCGAGUAGUUUGGGAAUGCUGCUCUAAAUGGGAGGUAAAUCUCUUCUAAAGCUAAAUACCGGCCAGAGACCGAUAGCGCACAAGUAGAGUGAUCGAAAGAUGAAAAGCACCUUGAAAAGGGGGUUAAACAGUACGUGAAAUUGUUGAAAGGGAAGCGUUUAUGACCAGACUUGUGCCGUAUGGCUCAUCCGAGGUUUUCCCCGGUGCACUCCAUGCGGCUCAGGCCAACAUCGGUUCUUGUUGGGGGAUAAGAACAGUAGGAACGUAGCUCUCUUCGGGGAGUGUUAUAGCCUAUUGUACGAUACCCUGACGGGGACCGAGGACCGCGCUUCGGCUAGGAUGUUGGCGUAAUGGUCAUUAGCGACCCGUCUUGAAACACGGACCAAGGAGUCGUCCAUUAGAGCGAGCGUUUGGGUGUAAAACCCGCACGCGUAAUGAAAGUGAAAUUAGGUGAGAGCUUCGGCGCAUCAUCGACCGAUCCUGAAGUUUACGGAUGGAUUUGAGUAAGAGUUUUAACGGACGGACCCGAAAGACAGUGAACUAUGCUUGAAUAGGGUGAAGCCAGAGGAAACUCUGGUGGAGGCUCGCAGCGGUUCUGACGUGCAAAUCGAUCGUCAAAUUGAGCAUGGGGGCGAAAGACUAAUCGAACUG